rnacentral:piRNA from 1 species
UGGAUCUAGCUCCUCUGCCGAUAGCCU